rnacentral:lncRNA from 1 species
CUCUUUUUCUUCUCUUUCCUCUGAGCCCUUCUCCCUCGCCUCCUUCCUUUCUUCUUCCAGGGUUAAAAAUAAUCAACUUUCUGGGAAGCAGCAGCUCCCGCCGAGCAGCCCUGGGGUCCCCGGACGCCUCCCUCCCCGCAGGUAGGGCCGUCCGUAUGUCCGCGGAGGGAAACUGAGGGCUGGGUGAGGUGAUUCAGGCCAGGACGGCUCCGGGCUCCCGCCACAGACACGCGGGGCAUCCUCGGCUCGGGUUGGGGGUUCGGCCCGGCCGCAAUGGGGGCGGAGCGGGGAGCGCCGAAGUCAAAGGUGAACGGCUGAACUCGGCUGGCGCAGCGGCCCCGCUCACUCGGCGCGCCCCGACAUUACCUCAUCGCUGCGCGCGCCCAUUGGCUGCUUACCUCUUCGCCCCACGCGCCCAUUGGCUGCUUCCCACGGAGGCCGGCCCAAUGCGGCGGGAGCGUUAACCCCUUCCGUGACGAGCCCUGCGCUGCUCCUGCAGCCUCGGCUGCCUUCACGUGGCUUCGGGCGCCCGAGGCCCACGGGGGUGGGCGGGGUGCGCGGGGCGGGGCAGGCAGGCGGUCGGAGCCUCCACCGGUUAGCCCCUAGGUCGCAUCGCCCCGGUGUGGGCCCCCUGCUCCUCCGGGCUGUGUGACCUUGGGCAACCGUGCCACCUCGCUGAGCCCGGCGUGUUUGCUCAGCUGUAAACAGCAGCGGAUGAUGUCACUCGUGGCCUCCCUGAUUCCUCGGCGCCUGCCAAGCGUCGGGUGCACGUGGGCUCCGCGCUGCACAUUUUGCCUCCGCGCUGCAAGAGGUGCGGUUAUUAUUAUGAGAUUGCGGGGGGGGGAGAAAACCAGCUCAGAGCUGCAGAGCGGCUUCCCAAGGACGCACAGCGAGAGUCCCAGAGCUGGGACCCCGAGCCCGAGCAAGCCCACAGCGCCCACGGAGGGGCCCACUUCCUGCUGCAGGGACACGAUCGAUGCCUGGCCGGCCAGACCACGGCACAGGCUGCUGUAAUCACAUAAAACCAGUGCCAAGCUGAGAGCCACCCAGGGCCUCCAGAGAGGCUUCGGUCCGGCUUUGAGGGAGGCAGAGGUCCCUCAGACAAAGGCGGGGACGGUGGCGCCCUGGGGGUGCAAAGUGGGGCGGGAAGCAGCAGGGCCCCCUGUGAUUCACCUUCUGGCUGGGGCUCAGCUAACAAACUGCUGAAUAAAACACGCUCUGUCCUCCUUCCUUGACAAAUACGCUGUCGCCAUAAGGACACCGAGACCUGGGAGCCUGGGUUCGAAUUUAGAAGUCUCAGCCAGAGUUCCCACCCAGCCCCUCUUCCCUUUCUGCUCCGGGGCAGGGCUGCGUGUGCCUGGGUACAGACACCCCCUAGCCCCCACCCUAAGCCUUGGGUGGC